UACGUAGGGGGCAAGCGUUAUCCGGAUUUACUGGGUGUAAAGGGAGCGUAGACGGUAAUGUAAGUCUGAUGUGAAAGCCCGGGGCUCAACCCCCGGACUGCUUUGGAAACUGUAUAACUGGAGUGCAGGAGAGGUAAGUGGAAUUCCUAGUGUAGCGGUGAAAUGCGUAGAUAUUAGGAGGAACACCAGUGGCGAAGGCGGCUUACUGGACGAUGACUGACGCUGAGGCUCGAAAGCGUGGGGAGCAAACAGG
rnacentral:rRNA from 1 species